AGAGCGAACGCUGGCGGCAGGCUUAACACAUGCAAGUCGAGCGGGCGUAGCAAUACGUCAGCGGCAGACGGGUGAGUAACGCGUGGGAACAUACCUUUUGGUUCGGAACAACACAGGGAAACCUGUGCUAAUACCGGAUAAGCCCUUACGGGGAAAGAUUUAUCGCCGAAAGAUUGGCCCGCGUCUGAUUAGCUAGUUGGUGAGGUAACGGCUCACCAAGGCGACGAUCAGUAGCUGGUCUGAGAGGAUGAUCAGCCACAUUGGGACUGAGACACGGCCCAAACUCCUACGGGAGGCAGCAGUGGGGAAUAUUGGACAAUGGGCGCAAGCCUGAUCCAGCCAUGCCGCGUGAGUGAUGAAGGCCCUAGGGUUGUAAAGCUCUUUUGUGCGGGAAGAUAAUGACGGUACCGCAAGAAUAAGCCCGGCUAACUUCGUGCCAGCAGCCGC
rnacentral:rRNA from 1 species